UACCCUGGCGCAUGUUGUUGGUUGUUUAAUUCUGGAAUCACAAGUUAAUGCAUUUUGCUAUGUGGGUACCCAGCCAUCCAGUAUGUGAGUGAUUUCUUGGCAGCAGAUUUAUGAUUUCUAUGGAUGCAUCGCACUAAUUGAAUUUACAAAUAAGUGUGUUCAUUACAAUCAGGGUUAUCUUCCCAUCUGUGUGGCUGUAAACUGUUCUGCUGCGGCUUCAAUCAUGAAUUGUGAAUCCCUUCCCCAACGUGAUUUUCCAGGUCGUCUGCAUUCCUAAUGGCUCUUCUAUCCGUGCAUCAACACCAAUAUUGUAUACAAGCUUUCCAAUCGCCACAACAUCUUGGUCUGGAAGGACAGAAGCGGCGUGAGAUUUCUUAGAUUUUGAUGGAUACAUGCACAAUGAGGAUGAUGCCAAAUUUGGGCAACUACAUUGCCGUCUCACCCCACUCACCCUCAGGUUUGUCUUCUGCCUUUUUCUGUUCUAUUCUAAUGGUACUUGAUGCUCCCUGGAUGGAAUUAGUACAUGAAUGUUGUUUGAAGUGUGAGCUUGGAUUCAGGUCGAUUGGCUGAGUAAGUGGACUAAAAUUAAGCAAACAUAUUAUAUCUUCCAGUUUCGGUGAGAUCAUGCACACAUCAGCAUAUAUACUCUCAAGCUAAGCCAUUUUUUUACUUCCUAUGACUACACUAAUAUCAGAGAAUCAGUUCAUACAGUGUUGAGUAAAAAGAAUGUGUGUAUCAGCCUGCUAAUGUGGCCUCUCGGAAUUUGGUGUAUACGUUUCUCUAAAUAGAGUCAUGUUGGUCAUAUUGCAAUUUAUAGCUUGGGCUAUUACAACUGUACCGCGAGGAAAAGAUUGAUCAAUUUAUCCUCUAGUAGAUAUAUUAAUAUUGCAGUUAAUAAUCCUCAAGUCAUUGCAACAUAGAGUGUAUGAACAUGCAGGCUUCAAAAUAGCAUAUAAUUGAUCUAUUGAUUCAUUAGCAGAAUAUUGUCUAGGUAGUUUCAUGUGAUUUCUACCUCUAAAAACGUUCUAUAGGAUUUCUCAGCCUGAAAAUUACUAAGGAGUCUCCAUGUGACCGGGAUAGAUAGUAUGAGCUUCCGAGAAAUGAGAACAAACUAAACUUCAGUCUGACCAUUCUAUAUCAUUUUUGGAAUAUAUAUUUAGAAAGGGUGAUCUUUUUGAGGGAAAACAAAGGGUGAUCUUGAUUGAUUCCCCUAACUAGGUCCCUGUUUUACUGAAUUAACAUAAUUGGGCCUUUAUGCAGUACUUGGGGAUCACUUACAGGGUCGUAUUAGAUUUUUCUGAAGAUACCAACAAAUAAAUAUAUGGUCCCCUUGAUUGAGUUUUUUAUGUAGGAAUUAUGGCGGACAUAAAUCCAUAAAAAUACCAUAAGGAUUUCUUGAUCUAUAGGACUGUUUUGAAAUAAAAUACUUCCAACGAUUACUUAUAUUGAACAACAUUUUAGAGGGCAAUUUCCAUCGACUCAAAUCUCUAUGAAAAAACAGUUUUUUCACCAGGCAAUCGUAAAAGUUCAAUGCAAAUUAAAUUAUGUGUUUUUAAUAAAAGUCCAAUCUGAGAUCUUAUGUUUUCCAUAUUUCAUUACAAACCUGUGAAUUCCAGAGGCAUGUCGUUGCACAAAAUCUGUAAAUUAUUACAUCAUCAAGAUAAUGCUCUGUUCAUGCUACGAAUAUUAAUCAUCUCUGUUUAUGUUGAAUACAAUCUUUGCUAAGAGUAACUUGCCAAUUGCACUUUAACGAAAAUCAUUCCUCUAUGUCACUAUUAGAAAAUUCAUGUGUUUAAUUAUAUCAUCCUAAUUGUCCAUUGCAUGUUCCUAUUGUAGACAUUAAAGGUGAAAAGUUCUGUGUGUACAACACUUUUCUGUCGGAUCCCUAUACGGAAUUGAUCCUGUGGUGUGCUCUGAUUUGGAUCUGAGUAUGAAUGGUUCAAUGGUGCCGGUGUACGCCCAUCGGACGGAGAACAUCGUACACAUAUCAAUGCUCAAUACUGAUAGUACCAUAACUGUCGCAUAUCUGCCAACGUCUAGAUGCAUCCUUUGUCCUCAAUUUUUGUGCACAUAAUCGUAGUUUGAGGUGCAUUUCGUUCUUAAAAAAUGUUGUAGUGUGAGCAAGCUUCAGAAGCAUAGAUGUUCACAAAAGAUAAAAAAUACUUGGUGGUGACGAUUAUCUAUGAAACAGCACUAGAGGCUAUGGCAAAGACAUACGCCCUAUCUUAUCCCCGCAAUGUCUAUAAGCUUCAUAUGAUUAAAAAUGUUAUAUUAUAUUUGGUCAACAUGUUGUGAGAAAUUCAUAUCUAACAUAGUAAAUUGUUUAAAGAAAACAUGGGUAAUUGUUUGUUAGAUACGAAAAUGAAAAUUGACGGGUGCUCAUUAUAGUUAGUUGUUUACAGUUUAAUUAAGAUGGCAUUGGUACAGUGAACAUCACAGGUCAGUAUUAAUUACUAUGGUAUUUGUAUGACACACUCACACUAACAUCCAUAAUACAUAAAGUAAAUACAAUUUAAUUAUUACAAGUUUGCACAUGUAGUGAAUAUUACAACAUUCGUCGGCACUUAUUUUUCUUCCAAGGUGCUAGCCCGUGCAGGCGCACGGGUUGACGACUAGUAUUUACUAAUUGGAGGCACUAUUCGAGACACCACGUUAAUCCUAGAAAACUUAACAAAAUCAUCCAUUCGAUCUGAGAGUUGCACCUCUGGAGCCGUUAGAUGAAAUCCCUCAUAGAGUCAUCACGAACUAUCCCACGUAAGGAGUUCUUUCCGAGCCUACAAAAAAACAUGUUCGUCUCUCCUUGUAAAAAUUAUCUCCGUCUGACAUCUUUCCCAUCUCUUCUACCCAG
rnacentral:lncRNA from 1 species